rnacentral:rRNA from 1 species
AGCGAACGCUGGCGGCAGGCUUAACACAUGCAAGUCGAGCGGGAAACUUCGGUUUCCAGCGGCGGACGGGUGAGUAACACGUGGGCAACCUGCCUCACAAUGAGGGAUAGCCUUCCGAAAGGGAGAUUAAUACCUCAUAACACAAGAGAAACGCAUGUUUCUUUUGCCAAAGAAUUUCGUUGUGAGAUGGGCCCGCGGCGCAUUAGCUAGUUGGUGAGGUAACGGCUCACCAAGGCUUCGAUGCGUAGCCGACCUGAGAGGGUGAUCGGCCACAUUGGAACUGAGACACGGUCCAGACUCCUACGGGAGGCAGCAGUGGGGAAUAUUGCACAAUGGAGGAAACUCUGAUGCAGCAACGCCGCGUGAGUGAUGAAGGUCUUCGGAUUGUAAAGCUCUGUCUUCUGGGACGAUAAUGACGGUACCAGAGGAGGAAGCCACGGCUAACUACGUGCCAGCCGCCGCCGUAA